UACAGAGGGUGCAAACGUUGCUCGGAAUUACUGGGCGUAAAGCGCGAGUAGGUGGCUAUGCCAGUCCGAUGUGAAAGCCCAGGGCUCAACCCUGGAAGUGCAUUGGAUACUACAUAGCUUGAGUCUUGAAGAGGAUAGCGGAAUUCUUGGUGUAGAGGUGAAAUUCGUAGAUAUCAAGAGGAACAUCUGAGGCGAAGGCGGCUAUCUGGGCAAGUACUGACACUGAGACGCGAAAGCGUGGGGAGCAAACAGG
rnacentral:rRNA from 1 species